AAUUGAAUUUCGAGAAUCCGGCUUUGAAGUGCUCAAACACCAAUUCUUUCGCUACUGUGUACGCGGAUUUAUAGGUCUCCGUGUGCAAUAGACUCUGUUGGGGAUCGCGCACAAACGGAUAAACACAACAGCAUGAUUGGGGGGGGGGUUAGGUUGUUGAAAUAUUUCGGCCAAUAAAACAUUGAUUUACUGAAUACAAAUUGGCUUUAUGGAUCCCGUUUUUAAAUUCACACUACCGGGUUACGUUCGACAGCAUGCGAUUUGACGAACGAUUCACGUGUCGCGUAACUAUUAUUAGUUAACUCGUCUGGUAUUGAAAAUUCCCCUUGCACGCCACCGGACAGACAGACAGACAGACGGACAAACACAAAUUUUUCCAAAUCGGAAAUGAUAUUGUGAAAUAUCGAAAAAACGAC